ACGACUAAAUUGCGAAAAAGAUAAGCCUGAGGGCGGCGGAGUUGCUGCCGACGUCGGAAUUGCUGCCGACGGCGGAGUUGCUGCCGACGGUGGAGUUGCUACCGACGGCGAAGUUGCUGCCGACGGCGGAGUUGCUACCGUUCAGUCUUCGUCGUCGAUGUGUGAUCCCAUCAUUGAAUGGAGCAACGUUGGGGAUAAAGUAUUUCUGCAGUUGUACCAUAUGAUGAGAGUGGAUAGAAUUAUGCAGGGGAAUAAGAACACCCACAAGAUCACGUUGUAUAAAAAAAAUUAUGGCUUGUAUUUAAACCUUAUACAGUUCGUUA